CGCCCUUGGCAGCAGGCGCGAAAUUGCCCAAUCCUGACACAGGGAGGUAGUGACAAUAAAUAACAAUGUGGGGCCCUAGGGUUCCACAAUUGGAAUGAGGACAAUUUAAAUCCCUUAUCGAGGAUCAAUUGGAGGGCAAGUCUGGUGCCAGCAGCCGCGGUAAUUCCAGCUCCAAUAGCGUAUAUUAAAGUUGUUGCAGUUAAAAAGCUCGUAGUUGGAUUUGUUGUGAGAGUGAAGUGACUGGCACAAUGUCAGUCUUUUUCAUUCCACAUUCUUUGUGUUGGCUUUGAGAUGGCAUUCAGUUGCUGCCUCAAAUACACGCAUCUUUUACUGUGAAAAAAUUAGAGUGUUUAAAGCAGACGUUAUUGUCGUUGAAUACAUUAGCAUGGAAUAAUAAUAUAUGACUCGAUUGGUCUAUUUUGUUGGUUUGCACAUUUGAGUAAUGAUUAGUAGGGACAGUUGGGGAUAUUCAUAUUUGAGCGUCAGAGGUGAAAUUCUUGGAUCGCUGAAAGAUGAGCUAAGGCGAAAGCAUUUAUCAAGGAUGUUUUCAUUAAUCAAGAACGAAAGUUAGGGGAUCGAAGAUGAUUAGAUACCAUCGUAGUCUUAACCAUAAACUAUGCCGACUCGGGAUUGGCCGUCGUUGUUUUUUGACAUGGUCAGCACCGUAUGAGAAAUCAAAGUCUUUGGGUUCCGGGGGGAGUAUGGUCGCAAGGCUUAAACUUAAAGGAAUUGACGGAAGGGCACCACCAGGAGUGGAGCCUGCGGCUUAAUUUGACUCAACACGGGGGAAACUUACCAGGUCCAGACAUAGGAAGGAAAUUGACAGAUUGAUAGCUCUUUCUUGAUUCUAUGGGUUGAUUCGGUGGUGCAUGGCCGUUCUUAGUUGGUGGAGUGAUUUGUCUGGUUAAUUCCGAAUUUAAUAUAAAUACAAACGAACGGGACCUCAGCCUGCUAAAUAGUUAUCUGUCUUUUUAUGUGCUUGCACAAACCGAGACUGACUAACUUCUUAGAGGGACUUUGUGAGCAACCAGAAAGGAAGUUUGAGGCAAUAACAGGUCUGUGAUGCCAAGGGCGAAUUCCACAGUG
rnacentral:rRNA from 1 species